GGGGCGGGGAGAAAAUAUGUAUUAUUUGUGUGGGAAGUUUUUAUAGGCCAGGCCUGCAGGUAGCAAACACAUAGAUCUACUCUGCAUACGUUACAUUGGUGGGAACUCAGGAAUGUGGAUGCUGCUAGAGAGAUUAGGAGAUGACAAAAAUCUCUCUGUAUGGCCAAGAGGAAAAGAGGCAUGACUCAGAAAAAUUAGGCCAGUCUCUGUCACACUUGUCCAAAAGCCAUUCCCUAUGUUACAUUUUCCAUAUUAAUAGAAUUCCAGUUUUAUACAGAUAGAAGGAAGAUCCUUUGAUUUCAAGAAAGGUGGCUUCCUCUCACCAAAUCAGGAGAUAAAUCACAGUGGACCAAACCAGUCCUGACAGGAACUUCACAGAAGAAAUUCUUUUGCUCCUGCCUCUCUUUUUGCUGAGACAAAGGAACAAAGACACCAGGCCUGGAGCUGCCAUGGCCAUCUUGUGACCAUAAAUGUGAUAGCAAACAAAGAUGGACACAGCAUGCUGAGGACAGCAAAGGAGACAGAUAGAAAGAACGGGUCCUUGAUGACAUAGGUAAGCUUCUGAAUGAACCUGGAACUGCCCACUACUUCUGGACUUCUUUUUUUAAGUAAAUAAAUGUUCUUGUGUAUCAACAACACUAUUAGACAAGUUUUCUAUUCUUUGCAGUCAAAAAAAUUAGUCUUAAGCAAUAUAGGAGAGAACUAAGAGAGAUUUUCUAGAAGAAGGAGCUAAUUGGUGGUGUCCAAUCUGAGAAGUAAAGGAGAAUAAGGAUGUAAGAGUGGCCAGUGGAUUUGCAAUUAGAAACUCACUGCUGAUCUUGGUAAGAGCAAUUUUAGUGGCAUGGUGGGGACAGAAAUGAUGUGAUUUCUACAAGGGAUUUUUCCUAAUAUGAGUGGUGACUGACAAAUGAGGAAGGAUGGUUUGGUCCAACUGGGUGAUAAAAUCUACUGUAGUCACUUCCCAUAUUCAGCUCCUAAUAUCCAAGGAAGCUGCUUGGGUCCUUGCCGUCUACUUUGGCUACAUCUGAGAAAUCAUGAACUGAAUCAUUUUCAUUGCUCUCUUUGCUACUCCCCACAGGAAGGAGCCAGGAAAGGUUGUUCUGGCCCCUUAACUGGUUUCAUAGAGGGCAAAUCCAGCAUGUAUGAUGGGGACUAAAUAGGACCUUUUUAAAACAUUUCCUUCCAGGAUUUAUUGACUGCAUAUAAGUACCAGGCAUUGAGCUAAACAGAAUAAAAAGGUGCCUAAAGCACAUCCCAUGACCUCUGGGUCCUCAACGUAAUUAAAGAGAUAAAUUAGGAACAAUUAUAACAAGUUCAAGAUUGGUCCUCAAAGUGGCAUUACAAGUGCUGAGGAAUAUAGCAGUUAACUCUCUGGAGAUCACUGCAGAAGCUUCUAGACGUAUCACUGUUGACUGAGCAGGGACUUAAAAGAAGAUAGCAGCACUAUUUUGGUUAGGCCAUCAGUGAGAUGUUACUUGGUUUUUUUUUUUAAUUUAUUAUUUUAACAUUUAUUUUUGAGAGAGAGAGUGUGAGUGGGGGAGGAGCAGAGAGAGAUCCCAAGCAGGCUCCAUACUGACAGCUACGAGCCUGGUGUGGGUCUCCAACUCAUGAACCAUGAGAUCAUGACCUGAGAUGAAGUCAGAUGCUCAACUGACUGAGCCACCCAGGUGCCCCAGAUGUUUUUUGUUUUUAGUAACUCUCUAUCUUUUUCAUGCAAAAUGUGAACAGAAGAAUAAAUAUGCCAUUAUAUUAUCAUAUACAGGAGGCAUGAGCUCUUAAGUAUGACAGGUACUCCUUGGAAAGAAGUUAUUGGUAUUUACUAGGCUGCCUGAGAGCCAUGGGGUUAGAAACUAAAACCAGAGAAGAUGAGUGUCAUAUACAAAGCUGAGAAGUCAAGUACCCACCUGUGUUAGCAAUCCACCUAGGAUGAUCAGGUGAGUACCCUCCUUUUAUAGAGAAAAUCUCUCCUCUAUAUUGUUAGAAGGCCUGGUGCCCUCACAGCCCCCCACACUUCUCAACUUCCCCAGCGUCUCCCCCACUAAAGCUGGGUUGGUUGCUGGGCUGAAUAAUACAAUGGCAGGUAGGACCUGGCUUCCCUGCUCUCAGGUGUAAGUCUUGCUAAUCUUAUUUUCUUUUUGUAUCAAAAGAGGACAUUUUGGGGACUGGGUCCCAGCAGAAAUGAUGGCUUCGGUGGAAGGGGAGUUUGGAAGAAGGCCAUAGCUGUGGGAUUAAAGAGAAAGAGUCCAAUACAACCAAUGGAAAGAAAGGGAAGGUGAAACUAGAGAGAGGUAGUGCUUAUACCACAUUGUGAAUGCCUGAAAUGCCACUGAGUUGUACACUCUCAAAUGGUUAAUUGUGGGGCGCCUGGGUGGCUCAGUCCGUUGAGUGUCCAACUCUUGAUUUCAGCUUAGGUCAUGAUCCAAGAGUCCUGGGAUUGAGCCCUGCAUCGGGAUCCAUGCUGAGCAUGGAGCCUGCUUAGGGCUCUCUAUCCCCCUGCCCUUCCCCCCUGCCCUCACUCUCUCUCUCUAAAAUUAAAAAAAAAAUUUUUUUUAAUGGUUAAUUGUGUGUUAUAUGACCUUCACUUCAAAAAAAAAAGGAUUUGCAGGAUUCAGAGAUAAUGAGCAAGAGACUUGAUCCCUCGUUUUCCUAAUUUUCAAGUCUCCCAGAGACUUCUGGGAGAAGAGCCGUGCCUUAAAUACUCAUACAACUGUGUCUACUCUUCCUCAGACCUUCCUUCCCCUCUAAUGAUUUCUAUUUCCCCCUUUAUCUACACAUGACCAUCUUACUCCCUCACUUUCUCCAUAUACCAACACUUUAUUCGGCAAGACCAAGGGAUAGUGCUUUUCUGUCGCUUUCCCUGAGUCAUUGUCAUUUCUCAUUAUCCUGCCCCCAAAAUUCUGUAGCUUCUCACCUUCGACCAACUGUUACACAAGCUUUUAGCACCUGCACUCCAUAUGUCUUUCUGUAUUCUCGAUUCUAAGUCAAAGCCAAAGCCAAAACAAAUGCUCUGGAAAGGGACACAGAGACCCACAGGGGAGAAGGCUAUGAAUCAGGACAGGAACUUGAAAUUCAAUCACUGAAUAUAAUUUGUGCUAAGUCAUUUUGCACUUCCUACAGACUCAGAAAUCAAAAACGCCCCAAUGAAGUAUCCCUUGCCUAACACAGUUCCUGAUAUGUGGUCAGUACCAGUAACUAUUUGGCUGAGUAAAUUACUGAGUGUUUAUUCACAGUGUCAAAGCAUCAGAAUUCAGUUAACUAUACAAUGGAGUUUUAGAAAUCUCAAAAUAACAAUCUUCAUCUUUGGCUGUGAAUUUAACUUUAUUUUUUUAUUAUUACUUUGGGAAACUCACUUUUAUAAAAUCUAUAAGCUGUCAUCAAGGGAUUAGUAAGUGGUUCUGUCCAUUGGAGGUGGGACAGGAGGAGGGGCCCUGUCAAAACCCGAAAGGGUAAACUCUCUGAUAUGAAAUAGCCUUCUGCCUGACCAACCUCAGUGCUCCCAGAAUGGCCAGUACAGAAGAAAAUCAUGGGCUUUGGAGCCUUGAUGUCAGUAGGAAUCCAGAGUCUCCCAGUAACUAGGGUGUGAUAGUAGGCAUGUUUAUAAAGGUCACCUUCCUCAUUCUGUUCUAAUGUUUAUUAAUUUUUAAGAGCAAGAGAGACAGAGCGUGAGCAGGGGAGGGGCAGAGAGAGAGGGAGACACAGAAUCUAAACCAGGAUCCAGGCUCUGAGCUGUCAGCACAGAGCCCGACGCGGGGCUCGAACUUAUGGACCACGAGAUCAUGACCUGGGCCGAAGUCGGACGCUUAACCGACUGAACCACACAGGUGCUCCUCGUUCUUAAAUGGAGAUGAUAAACACCUUCUCCUUACCUCCUUCAUUCCCUCCAUCAGAAAGUUUCCUCAAUGUUACUUUCAAAAAAUAUCCCGAACCCACUACUAUUCAUCUCCACGGAUACAGACUUUCUGAUCUCACAGACAGAAGUGAAAUAUAGACUAUAUAAUAUAAAUACUAUAUAGAAUAUAAUAAAUACAGAUUUUUCAGUCCUAUCUUGAUCAAAAGGGAGUGCACGUUUUAGUUAUGAAUAUAUUGACUAGGAGCCUUACAGAGAACCAAAAAUUACCUGUUCAUUCUGGUGCUCUUCUGUAAGGAUGUAGAAUAUUACAACUUGGUGAAUUAAUCAAAAAGGUUCAAUUCAGACUAAAUUUGACUAUAGUCUAUCCUCCAUUAUAUCUUCUCGAUCUCAUAGAUGCAGAUAUUCAAAGAUCAGGACUAAUGUUAUUCCCAAUAAAAUUUUAUUAAGCUUUAUAAUAAUUUAAACAAUUUAGAAAGUGACUAUUCUCUACAAAAUGAUUUUUUUUUCAACUGAAGAGCCCUAGUCUCUCAGAAAAUAUAACCUUUAAUCCCAAGGCUUGUGUUGACUCCAAAGCAAGUAAAACAUGUUUCUUUCUCUUAAGUACAUAGUUACAAAACAGUCUAUUAUAGGAAAUAGUGUCAAUUCAAAAAAUACUCCAGUUACUUGUAAAAUAAACUCAUUUUUUCUUCUCCCUUUCUUUAUUCCCCCCAAAUAUCUGUAUAUAUUUUUGGGUACAUAUAUAGUUAUAUAUAUAUAUAUACUUCUCCUUUGUGAAAGCUUUGGUGGAGGCAAAGGUACGUCUUUCUUUCUGUAGCUGCUUGUGCUAAAGUGGUUUCCCUAAUAAAUUUAUGUUCAGACACAAUGCAAAUCCCCUUUCUUCCAGAAACCCCAGUUCAGCUCACCAGUAUCUCUUACAGCUGCAAGCCCUUCGUAACUGGCAUGCCUGCUUUCGUUCUUGCCCCAUUUUCCAUCUGUUGCUUCUAAAAAUAUAUAUCAGAUAUCUCCCCCCUACUUUAAAGCACUCCAGUAGCUUAUGCUUAGACUAAAGCCUAAACUUCUUACUUUAACCCGUAAGUCACUUCUGACCCCACUUCUGCCUUCCUCUCUGAACUCCUCUUCUCCCCCUCUGACACAUGCUCUUUUCUUUUCUUUUUUUUUUUUAAUUUAUGUAUUUAUUUUGAGAGAGAGAGAGCAUGUGCGCAUGCAUGGGAGGGGCAGAGAGAGAGAGGGAGAGAGAGAGAAUCCCAGGCAGGCUCUGCACGCAGAGCCCCCACUCAGGGCUCAAACUCAUGAACCAUGAGAUCAUGACCUGAGCCGAAGUCAGAUGCUUAACUGACUCAGCCACCCAGGCACCCCGACCCACGCUCUUCUUAAUGUUCCUUAGACACAAAACUCAUUCCCAUCACAUGGUCUUUGCACUGAUGCUACCCUCCAGGUCUUCACCUUGAUGAGGGAGGGUGGGGGCAAGAUGAGGGCAAAGUACAGGCUAACAGCACCCAACCCCCCCCCCCCCGCCAGCUGGGAUAUGUGUGAUAUUCCUUGGACACUCCCAGCUGGCUGCCCAGAACAGGGGAAAGGAAAGAAAGCAGAUGGUUGACUGAUAGAGAUCACAGUCAUGCAGGACAGGAGUCUCCUUCAAGUUAUGGAUAACUCAGUAAACUGCAAGAAAAAGGCAAUCUUCUCCAUAGCCUAAUCUCCAGAAACCUAUAGACUCUGUUUCCUGGAGCCCUAAUAUCACCCUCAUCAUGAUGUAAAGGGGGCUUAAGUGCUUGCCGUGGUGAUGUGGGAAACAAAGGCAAAUGAAAAAUUAAAUUCCUUUACUGCCUACAGCCCAUUGACAAUUCCUUGAAACAGGCAGAGUGACCUUCCUCUAGGAGCUCAGCUGCCUCGAUGAUGACACUUUGCUGGGGGCAAAAGGGAAUCUUGGCUUAACAUUACCCUGACCCCUCAAGAUCCUGUAAGUCUACUUUAACAUAUAAAAAUUCUUUUGUAAACUUCCUUUAUCUCAACUCCCCCAAGAUAUGCUGCAGUCAUACUCCAAGCUUAUGGUCCCCUGAUAUACAUCUGAAGGGUCUCAUAACAGGUUUUACUGAACGGUAAUAAAUGGCAUUUUCCUAACAACACCUAGCCCCUCAAGGUCCUGGAAACCUUGCUUCCAGAAUUCCUUAGAGACUUAGGCUGUCCGUAACCGUCUCCCAACCUCAGGGUAUAUAAUCAGCUAUCAGUCACAACCCCAAUGCAGCUCUUUUCUGCCCACAGGUCCUGUUCCCAUGCCUUAAUAAAAUCACCUUUUUGCACCAAAGACAUCUUCAAGAAUUCUUUCUUGGCCAUCGGCUCUGAACCCCACCAUCACCCUAAAACCCCAUUAACCUGACUGGAUUCAUUAAUUUAUUCAUUCAACCAAUGUUGGUUAUUAAGAACAGGCUGGGGCACCUGGGUGGCUCAGUUGAUUAAGCGUCCAACUCUUGAUUUCCGCUCAGGUCAUGAUCUCACAGUUCAUGGGAUGGAGCCACAGCACAGAGCCUGCCUGGAAUUCUCUCCCUCUUUCUCCCUGCACCUUCCCUGCUCUUCCCUGCCUACAGUGCAUGCUCUCUCUCUCUCUCUCUCAAAAUAAAAUUAAAAAAAAAAAAAAAAAAAGAAUCUGCUAUGUGUUCUAGACAUUAUGGAUGCAACAGUGAACAAAAGAAACAAACAAAAAAACCACUCCUGGAGUUUACAUUCUAGUAUAGUACACACUGACCUCAAUAAGAUCUCAACAUUUGUUAGAGUGUUAGAAAGUGGUAAGGGCUCUAUGGAGAAAAAACGAGGAAGGGAGAGAGGGAGUGGCUGACCAGGUGGUUGCAAUUUUAAACAGAAUGACCAAGAAUAGUCUCGCUGAGCAAGACCGUGAAUGAGGUAAGGGAACCAUCUGGAUGGUAUCUGGAUGUAAAACACUGUAAGGAGAGGAAACGAGUGAGGUGAGCACUUACCUGGUACACUGGAGGGACUGCAAGGAGGUCAGCAGGCUUGGAGCAGGGUAAGCGAAGGGUGAGAGAGUCCUAGGAGAGGAGAGAAGGUGGCAGAUCGUGUGGACCAGGGAGACCACUGUAAGAACUUCCAUUUCUAUUCUGAGUGAACUGGAAAGACAUUUGAGGAUUUGAACAGAGAAGUGACACGGGAUGACUUAUAUCAGGCCUGCUGUGGGUACGAGACCGUGUAUCUGCAGGGGAAGAGGCAGAUGUUGGAAGCAAGGAGAACGUUGAAGAGGCUCUUGCAAUAACUCAGACAUGAAACAAAGUCUGCUUGGACAAAGAUGGUAGAGGUGAAGAUGAGGAAAAGGAAGAUUCGGGAUAUGUUUCAAGGCAGAGUCAACAGGAUUUACCAACGGUAGUGUGGGUGGGAGGGAAAGCAAAGAGAAAGGGAAAAUAGGAAACCAAGCCCACUAAAGAAACAAUAGGAUUGCUCAGUAGAAUGGAAGUCAAUUUUGAUGUAUGAUGUCAUGAAUUUAAAAUGAAACCAGCCAGCCUGGUUGAGGGCUUUCUUCAACAAAAUCUAGCUGCUCUAAUGCAGAUAAAGAGCAGAUAGUAUAAUUUAUUCAGAAUUGGAGUUUUUCAAGGCAAGUCUGCCUGAGUGGGAGAGAGAUAAAGGGAGUUGUAUCGAUGGACCAUGGGAUACAGUCAGGUCAAGGUGGGGUGUGAAGCCAAGAGAGGGCUGGCAUUGACAAUGGAGGUACUUGAGCAAAUAACGUGGGUGAAAAGCAGGUUUAAAAUCGAGAUUUCAGAUGUAGUACAAUUUCUGGUUAAUGACAGGGUGGUGAGGAAGAAGGAAGUAAGGUCUUUGGAGAUGAGGAGGUCAAAGAGCUUGAGAGGCUGGAAUGUUGAAGUCAUCCAGAGUGAAGACAUACUUGUGAAGGAGAAAGUGAACACGUGGCAAUUUGGGGAGACUGGUGUGCUCAGAGAGCAUGGGCACUCCCUGCCUUUCCCUCAUACCUUGCCCUAAACAUCUCUCCCAUCUAAGUUAUAGUCUUUUAUAACAAACCAGUGAUCUGGUAAGUAAAAUUUUUUUCUGAGUUCUGCAAGCUGCUCCAGCAAAUUAUCUAAAUCCAAGGAGUCGUUGGAACCUCCGAUUGAUAGCCAGUGGUCAGAAGCACAGGUGACAACCUGGGCUUGCAAUUGGUGUCUGAGAGGGAGGAGAGCAGUCUUGUAGUCUUGAACCCUUAACCUGUGGGAUUGGAGGCUAUUUUCACGUGGAGAGUGUCAGAAUUGAGUUGAAUUACAGGACACCCAGCAGGUAUUGGAGAAUUGUUGGUUGGUGGAGGACGGCGCACCCCUCCUCCCCAGUUUAGGAAUUGGGUGCUCAGAACCUUUUAGCAGGUUUUCUCCAAACCUUCUAUCCCUGACUCCCUAUGUACAGGAGUCUAGUCCCUCCCUGACGCUUUGUUUCUAUGGAGCUUGGUUAGUAGGGUGAGUGAGCUUCCCCCAAUGUUCUUUGUUGCCCAAAAGCACACUUUAUAGUAAGCACAUUAAGAAUGGGACUAUAGCACUGGGAACAAACUUUUCAUUCUCCAUUCCCCCAAAUUAUUGAAAAUUGAUGGGAAGAUUCAGAAUUGGUAAAAUAGCCAUAAUACAAUUGUGUCAUAAAUAUGUGAAUAUUAAAUCAAUAUAAGUCAAAUAAGAUCAAUAUAAAUCAAAUAAGUGAAUAUUAUAAGGGAAAGACUAACCCAAGCCUAGCCAGAAGUUUUGUGUGAUUGAAAGAUGAUUCAGCGAGCCAUCUGGCCGGGAAAAGAACCAAGCCCAAGAUUCUGGGAGCUUUCUGUGAUCCAGUGGAUUAAGGAUGUGUUCAAAGUAGACAAAUCACCCAGGAAUGAGAUGGUCAAGGUGGAAGGCCAUAGUUAAAUGAAAGCACUGUGAUCAAAAUAAAGACAAGCUUGGGAUGCGUUGGUGGCUCGAUUCCUGAGUCAGGGGUAUCCCUACUUGGGAUCCUCUCUCCCUCUCUGUCUACCCUUCCUCUGCUCGUCAUUCUCAUUCUCUCUCUCUCUUUCUCAAAACAAACUUUAAAAAUCAAAUGUUAAAAAAAUAAAGAUAAGCUUAACCAUUCUGAGAAUUUCCACAGGGAGUUGUAAAUUUAGAAGAUUAUAAUGGCAAGCAGAAUUAUUCUGUAUCAAUGUAGUGGGGUGUUCCAUGGAAGAGGAAGUGGGAAGCACCAUGAACUCAAGACAAAACAGCCUGUUGUGGUAGUGAUUGGGGAGGGUAAAGGGUGGAAGGCAGGUAACAAACUGACAGCAAUUCACUAGUGGUAGCAUGGACCCCCAGAUGGAAUUUCUCCUGCUUAAGGAGCACUCCAAGAAUACAGAGAACCAGUCUCCCUGGGAAUUGUCUUGACAUGGAGAACCCAAGUCCAGAUCCCUUUACUUGAAUAAGCAGACUCACUUAUCUCCCAUUUCCAACCACAAAGGGGAGUCUGUAUCAGGAGUGAGAGAUGGUCCCUCAAAGCCAGCCAGGCAGAUUUUUUUUUCUCCAAAGGGACUUAAGCUAGCGUCGGUUUCCUUGUGGAAAAGUACGUGUUUUCCCACAGAUCAUGAAACAGCUAAUUGAUCUCUAGGGAACUUCCUUUCUCCCGGUAUCUUCAAGCCCAACUGUAAGAUCUCAGAUCUGUGGGGUCAUCCUUAGAUUCUAAAAAUAAAUUGGCUACUUCUAGGUAUAUGCAAUGCAGCACUUUUAUAUGAGACUAUGGAGAUAAUGAAUAAGGCAACUGCCAAUCUCUACUAUAAGCCGGACAAAUUUACUUGAGAAUAGUAUGGAAUUUCCUCGUUAUUAAAACACAAACAUGCCAUCAACAUCUAAAUCCCUCGAAGCCAUUUGCUUCUACUCCCCCAUCUGAAUUCAUAUAGAUUCCAUUUCAAGGAAUGUGUGUGAUACAUCACACGCCAAGAAUGGACUGGCUCCCUUGUUGCUAGAAGAUAGUGCCAAUCUGGGGGCCCUGAUACUGAAGACUACCUUAUCUCUCCCAGUCACCUUUGGGGAGCAGAGAAGUGAGGCAGCUAGAGGCUCCUGGAGGAACUCAAGCUAAGCCUUAUCCACACAGCUGUAGUAAAUAUUUAUGAACUUAACACACAAGAUGAUUUGCCAUGUGUUUACAUGUACCUGAAUGUACAUGUUUACAUUCAUUUGAACUUAAGGAAUCUUCAAGGUAUUCUAAUACCCUCCUCCUCUGCAGAAAGGAUAGUAAGGAAACCUUUCUGGUGGGCAACUGGGCACAAUUCAUAUUAAGAACUUAAAAAUUGUAACCCCACUCCCAGUAAUUUAAGGAAAUAAACAAAAUAUGCCAUGAUACAUGCACAGCAAAGAUGUUCACUGUGUCUAAUUGUGAAAAAAGGGCACACAGCAUGUUGAAUAAUAUGGAAAUGGUUUACUUACCUAUGUAAGGCAUUAUACAACUACUCAUAACUACAUUUUGAAUAGUACUUGAUACAAAGAAACGUUUAAGAUUAAGAAAGUAAAAUGUGGGAUUAAAACUAUAUCCACUGUUACCCCAAUUUUGAAAAAUAGUAUAUAUUUAAUAUGUUUAUACAUACAAAAAAGGACUAGAACAAUUGAUGUACAUGGAGGAAUUACAAUUGACUUUUUAUGUUUUUCAGUGACUUCCAAAAUUUCAUUUUAUACACGGAACAAUUUCUUUAGAGAACCAGAGGCUAAGAGAACCAACAUCUGAAAUACCCAUAUGUGGUAGACACUGAGCUAAGAAUUUUACCACUUAUAUUUUUGGGUUCGAGCCCUGCAUCAGGCUCUGUGCUGACAGCUCAGAACCUAGAGCCUGCUUGCUUCGGAUUCUGUGUCUCUCUCUCUCUCUGCCCUCGCCACCCCCCCCCCCCCCCCCCCCAUCCCC